UGUUAGAAAUGCAAAUUCUCAGACUCCUCCCCAGACCUGCUGACUCAGAUAGCAGGGACGGAACCCGGAAAUGGGUUAUCGCACAAGCUCCCUGGGUAUCUCUGAUGCCCUGUAGUGUUUGAGAAGCACUGCUUUGAAGUUUGCAGCUACUCUCAAGUGCAUCUUAAGAAUUUUACCUCCAGUCUUAUGACGGCACAGAGAAGUCCUUUUUAAGAUGCCUAAAUGUGGAGAUGGUCCAGUGGAGUAUCUGCAUGUUGCUGAAUUGCAAAUAAUUUGUGCAAAGACCAGCACAUUUUCUACUUUGGCCUACUUUUUGAAAGCUGCAACUCCUGGGGAAGAAAGGAAAAAAAAAAGCUUGCUGGAAAAAUGAGCUAAUCCCACAGUUGCACUGAGAGGUAAGAGGAGUGUUUGGAAUUCAAACGAUGCCACGGAGGCAGUCCUCGUAUUUGCUGCGGAGAACUGAGCCCAGGAAGCCAACAGAGGGUCGGCAAUCAUAUAAUCAAGGCUAGCAGCAGAGGUCAUCGCAUCCAGACUAGGAGACACCGCUUCUCCCUGGGAUCGUCCAACUGUUCACGACGGGAGACACAGAAGACAGGGCAGGCGGACCUACGCACCUUGGCUCUUCAGGGGACACAGUGCAGUUGAGAGCAUUAUUCACUGACACUUCCAAGGGCUGUCACCCAGUGAGGGAAGAUAGUGGGUGAAAAAGUACCAUUUCCCAUCACAGAAGGUUCUAAGGCACGGAAGGUUCUUUCUCAAGACUUGAUUACUUCGCGUUAGUAAAGACCUCUUUUCCAAGCUCUCUCAAAACUUGAAACUAAAAUGAGGUCAGGGACAACUUUCACCAACUUUUCCACUCCGGUAUCGUAUGGGGCGUGGUGGGGGCUGUGACAACAGUGGAGUGUGCACAUGCAUACAGAAAUAGGUCCCUUUGAUGCGUUCAUCACUCAGCAGACGUUUAUUGGCCAUCAUCUACAUGUCAGGGGGUAUUUUAAUUGCUGCUUCUAUGGUCACAGAAACAGUCUCUGCCCUGAAAUGGCUUACGUUUUAGUAAGGGAUACAGACAAUAAAUAAUAUCUCAUAUAAUUCAAAGUGUCACUUAGCCUAAUAAAGUAAAAAAAAAAAGCAAAGCAUUAUAUAUACAUAUAAUGAGAUGCUUCUACCUUACACAGCACAGUCUGGCAAAGCUCUCUAAGGAGGUGCCCUUGAGUAGAGAUCUGAAUAAAGCGAAGGAACAAGAGCAUGCUGAGUGGGAAGGAAACAGACCCAACAGAAGAAAGCCUAAGUCCAAAGCGUUGGGAGGGAGAAGUGGGGGCUGGUGCUGAAUUUCCUCGGCCUCCUUCAGCAAUAGCAGGAAAGAGGUCCUUGUGGCUGGUGAGGGAGGGAAUGGGGAGGUGGAAGGAAAGACCUUAAGAUCACAUAAGGAGAGCCCUAAAUACCACGGAAAGACCACGCCAUGAUUGUACCAUGUACCUCUCCCACUUCUGCGGCCCUGAAGUUCCCUCUUGAGACCGUCUCCGAUGGUCCGGACCCUCACUGUUCCACUGCACUCCAGGGCCUUGACUCUCUUUGCCAGCCGUACUGAACUAUCUCAUGUACCCAGCUUCUCUGCUUCCCCCUUCCCCUCUGCACUUGGGACGCAAUAUCCUCAGCCUUGAACGCUUUUCUCCGAUGACCCCUCUGAGGAAACACACCUUUUGCAUCAGGCUCUCCCUGGCUCCCACUUGUCUUUACGCCCCUUCUAUUCCUAGCACAUCUAAUGGCUGCUUUGCAGUAAUUUGCUUGUCUGCAUUACUGCUUCCCACAUAAGAGAAUGAACUUUGUGUAGUCACAGACUGGGUCUUUGUCUUCAGAUUCCUGAUGUUUGGCACAAGGCCCCAUGCACGGGGGAAGAAAACAGUUAAAAUAAAUACUGAAUAAAUGAA